rnacentral:lncRNA from 1 species
GCCUCAGCCUCCUGAGUAGCCGGACUACAGGCGCCGGCCACCCCACCGCGCUAAUUUUUUUGUAUUUUUUAGUAGAGACGGGGUUUUGUGUCCGGAAUUGGUGGGUUCUUGGUCUCACUGACUUCAAGAAUGAAGCCGCGGACCCUCGCAGUGAGUGCUACAGCUUUUAAGGUGGCGCCUUUGGAGUUUGUUCCUUCUGAUGUUCGGAUGUGUUCGGAGUUUCUUCCUUCUGGUGGGUUCGUGAUCUCGCUGGCUCAGGAGUGAAGCUGCAGACCUUCACGGGGAGUGUUACAGCUCUUAAGGUGGCACAUCUGGAGUUUGUUCCUUCUGACGUUCAGAUGUGUUCGGAGUUUCUUCCUUCUGGUGGGUUCGUGAUCUCGCUGGCUCAGGAGUGAAGCUGCAGACCUUCAGGGGGAGUGUUACAGCUCUUAAGGUGGCGCGUCUGGAGUUUCUUCCUUCUGGUGGGUUCGUGAUCUCGCUGGCUCAGGAGUGAAGCUGCAGACCUUCACGGAGAUUGUAAAAUCAGGAAGUAUAUCUAAGUCACCUCCAGUAGCCGUAACUCUACCUUGUCCAGUAAAAGUGCUGCUUGUUGCUGACGUUUCUGCCCAAACAUCAUGAAAUGUGGAGAAGAAAGAACACUCAGAUGUGCCCUGGAGACUUUCCUUUUAUUUUUAAACAGGUGCCUGCAAUCUGUCUGGAAUUCAGACUAUUACCCUUCUGGAUUCACUAAAACUAUACUCUUAAUCUGUACUGGGAAGUUCUAUACUGUUGCUUUAAUCCUUGGUGCUGUUUAUUUCAACCAAGAUACACCUUGAAGACAAUCUGCCUGCAACACUCAUAAUCCCUGAAUGGAUAGCACCCAAUAAAAGAGAGAACAUCAUUGCCAAUUUUUUCUUCUAUCCAAGUCCUCCUCUGUCUUUAUACCUUAUUUGACCUGAAUAUCUUAUCUUUCCGUGUUAAAUGCUCUUCUCUCUUGACCUCUAGAUCACUGUACUCUCUGGGGUCUGCCUCUGUUUCCCUAAUAUUUUCCGCUUUAAAUUGUCCACAUCUGCUCAUGCUUCAAUUGAUGCCCUCUUUUUAAAAAUUCUGUCCUUAGCCAUCAUUUCUCUCUAAGUUCUACUUAAUAAUAACCUUAGACAUUUUUGUGAUUUUAUCUUUUAUUUCUAUGCAUAUUUUUUUACCAAAUGCAUACUUCUAGAUGUGAUCCCCCUCAUAUUUUUCAGAACAUAUAUAGUUCAUUGACAUUAUUUUCAAAGAUACAUCAACAGCACCCCAAAUUAAACAUGUACAAAAAUAUUUGUCUUCUCCACAAAUAUGUUCUCAUUUGAAUAUUUACUGCCAUUGCUGUUGGAGGAUACCUCUAAAGAACCCUGGAAGAAAAUAUCAGUGUUAGUCACAAUUUCUUAUAUUUUUCAUCUCUGUAGUCAAGAAGUAAAUCACCAUAUCAUAGAGAAUUGUGAAGGAUCUGAGAUUUUAUCAUCUUACAAGCUAACAGGUUAGCUGGCUACAAUUUCACAGAUUCUGCAGAAGACACAGGACUCCAGGAUCAGACACAAAGAACUUUGCUACUCAUGGCACAGCAGGUAGCAUGAGCUUCAUGUUCACACCAGUUUCCUUUGACUCCUCAGUCACAUUGGAGUGGUGCAGAGAAAACUCAGGUGGAUGCUGGACACACAGUGAGUUUGUUUCACAGUCAAAGAAUUCUGAUCUUUGGAAACCCAAAUCUUUUAUAAGGUAUAUGCAACCAAAAGCACCAAGUCUUUGCCCUGACGGGAGACACCGUCUCUAUCUGUAAGGAGAUAGAAGAGGACAAAGGGAAUAAGUAUCUCUGUUCUAAAACAUGUAGGAAUACAAGAAACAUGUAAAGAAUAUUCUCCCUAUACUUAUCGUACCUGCUGUAUCUUCUGUUCCUCAUUUCUAAAUAGCUGUGUGAAACUGGACAAAUUACUUACCUUCAUUGUCCCACAAUUUUUUAUGUGUUAAUGGGAAUAAUAAUAGUACCUAAAACACAGAGCUAUUAUGAUUUUUCAAAGAGUUAAUAUGUCUAAAGUUUCUGUGGUAAAGGCUGGCACAUUAUUAAAUGCUAUUUAAGUCAUUAUUAAAUAACUGAAUAAGUACUUAUUACUAUUAUCAUCAUCAUAUUUACUGUUCCUUUUCCAUUUUGUUUGCCACUGGCACUUAGCUUCUCCCUUGUCUACUGCAGUAUAGUCUUACUGUGAUUCUGCACCCAGACUCUCACCUCCCCCAUUUACUCUUUGUGCAGUUUCCAAAGCUUAUUUCCUAAAAUAAGUAUCAGUGAUGUCCACUUGAUUCUUCCAGAAAUUUUAGAUGAUUCCAGGUUGCAGACAGAAACUGGCCUGCAGUAUGGAAUUCAGGAUCCUUCUCAACAUGACUUUUUGGUAGUCUCUUUCCCCUUUAGACUUCCGUAGUUUAGACUUUCUGUAUUUUAUGAAGAGAUUAGGCACAUCUAGGCAUCCACAAAUUUGAUCCUGCUGUUCCCUCAGUCAGAAACCCUUUUAUCUUUACCUGUGAAAAUUCUUGUAAUGUUACUGAUGUCAGUUCAUGCUAUUGCUUCCCCAAACUUCUUGCAAGCACACACUCUGCCUGGCUUAUCUUUCAAUACUCUCUUGGUUGUAAAAAUCAUUUUUAGCAACACAAGUAUCAUAUUCAUCAUCCAUCCACUUUCCUUAUAUUCUUCCUCUUUAACUUUCUACCCAUCUAGUUCCUUUGUCUUUGCUUGUCAACAUAUCCUGGUCAUUCUCUUCAUUCAUAUGAACUGACUUAGCAGGCUCACUUUCCUGCAGCUUUAGGUUCUGCAUAGAUGGCUUCCUUGUGGACAUCUAAUUUGGGCUGAUCCAGGAUGAACACUGCCCUAUACUGCUUCCCCUCUAAUACUGCUGAGUUCUGUCUUUGAGGUUGAGGCCUUACAAGUCCAGAAACAAAUCAUCAAUGCCUCAUAGUCCUACCCUUCACCGUGUAGGAGGCUUAUCGUCUUGAUAAUCAAACAAAAAGCCCAGCAUCAAAAAGUCACCUGUGGUCAAAGCUGCAAAUACUAAGGAAAUGUUUUGGUGAGCAUGAAUAAAAAAAGGCAUAUUACUUCCUCCAUUUAGCCUGUGCCAAUUAAGACUGUGUAGGAGGAGAUUUAUUGCAAUUAAAUAAUUUAAAAUAUUAUGUAUAAUUUCAGUUAAUUGAGCAAAAAUGUAACAGCAUUCAAGAGAAAAGAGCAAAGGAAAAACCAAUGUAAAAUUUAAAAGUAUAUACAGUCUAUAUAUUGAUCUGGGUUUAUAAAGGGAUUUAAAUUGCAGUUCUAAAUUUAUUUAGUUUUAUAUUUCAAUUGCACAUCUGUUUCUCGUUUUCAUGGAACAUGUUUCAAUCUCAGAGUGAAAGAUUUCCUGAAAAUCAUAAGAUUUAUGUUUACUGUGUUCCUUAUAAAACCAAACUCAUGACAAGUGAUGGUCAAUAAGUGGUCUUUGUUGCAUUAAAUAAAAAGAAUCUGUGAACUUUGAAUGCU